UACAGAGGGUGCAAGCGUUGUUCGGAAUUAUUGGGCGUAAAGCGCGUGUAGGCGGCGUGACAAGUCGGGUGUGAAAUCCCUCGGCUUAACCGAGGAAGUGCAUUCGAAACUGGCGCGCUGGAGUACUGAAGAGGGUCGCGGAAUUCCCGGUGUAGAGGUGAAAUUCGUAGAUAUCGGGAGGAACACCAGUGGCGAAGGCGGCGACCUGGGCAGAUACUGACGCUGAGGUGCGAAAGCGUGGGGAGCAAACAGG
rnacentral:rRNA from 1 species